UGGGGAAUAUUGCACAAUGGGCGCAAGCCUGAUGCAGCAACGCCGCGUGAGGGAUGACGGCCUUCGGGUUGUAAACCUCUUUUAGCAGGGGAAGAAGCGAAAGUGACGGUACCUGCAGAAAAAGCGCCGGCUAACUACGUGCCAGCAGCCGCGGUAAUACGUAGGGCGCAAGCGUUAUCCGGAAUUAUUGGGCGUAAAGAGCUCGUAGGCGGUUUGUCGCGUCUGCUGUGAAAUCCCGAGGCUCAACCUCGGGUCUGCAGUGGGUACGGGCAGACUAGAGUGCGGUAGGGGAGAUUGGAAUUCCUGGUGUAGCGGUGGAAUGCGCAGAUAUCAGGAGGAACACCGAUGGCGAAGGCAGAUCUCUGGGCCGUAACUGACGCUGAGGAGCGAAAGGGUGGGGAGCAAACAGGCUUAGAUACCCUGGUAGUCCACCCCGUAAACGUUGGGAACUAGUUGUGGGGUCCAUUCCACGGAUUCCGUGACGCAGCUAACGCAUUAAGUUCCCCGCCUGGGGGAGUACGGCCGCAAGGCUAAAACU
rnacentral:rRNA from 1 species